GACGUAGGGGGCAAGCGUUAUUCGGAAUUAUUGGGCGUAAAGCGCUCGUAGGCGGGACUGGAAGUCCGUGUUGAAAGACCUCGGCUCAACUGAGGGACCGGCUCGGAUACUCUAGUUCUUGAGGCAAUCAGAGGGUGAUGGAAUUCCCGGUGUAGCGGUGAAAUGCGUAGAUAUCAGGAGGAACACCGGUGGCGAAGGCGGGUCUCUGGGCCGAAUGACUCUGAGGAGCGAAAGCGUGGGGGAGCGAACAGG
rnacentral:rRNA from 1 species